AUUGAACGCUGGCGGCAGGCCUAACACAUGCAAGUCGCACGAGUGGCGGACGGGUGAGUAAUGUCUGGGAAACUGCCUGAUGGAGGGGGAUAACUACUGGAAACGGUAGCUAAUCCCGCAUACCAUCGGAUGUGCCCAGAUGGGAUUAGCUAGUAGGUGGGGUAAAGGCUCACCUAGGCGACGAUCCCUAGCUGGUCUGAGAGGAUGACCAGCCACACUGGAACUGAGACACGGUCAAGACUCCUACGGGAGGCAGCAGGGGGGAAUAUGGCACAAUGGGCGCAAGCAUGAUGAAGCCAUGCCGCGAGUAUGAAGAAGGCCUUCGGGGUGUAAAGUACUUUCAGCGGGGAGGCGUUACCCGCUGAUGAAGAACCGGAUAACUCCGUGCCAGAAGCCGCGGUAAUUC
rnacentral:rRNA from 1 species